UACGUAGGGACCGAGCGUUGUCCGGAAUCAUUGGGCGUAAAGAGCGUGUAGGCGGCCACUUAAGUCCUGCGUGAAAUCUUGCGGCUCAACCGCAAGCGGUCGUGGGAAACUGGGUGGCUAGAGUGCGGGAGAGGAGAGUGGAAUUCCUGGUGUAGCGGUGGAAUGCGCAGAUAUCAGGAGGAACACCGGCGGUGUAGACGGCUUGCUAGACCACCCCUGACGCUGAGGCACGAAAGCGUGGGUAGCAAACAGG
rnacentral:rRNA from 1 species